AAAAUAGAUACUGGUAUGGUUGUUUGCUGCUGCUGGUUCCUACGCACACCGACCUCCUUAACCUGGUUCAGACCUUGUUCAGAUCAAAUUUCAAGCUUCUGACAUACUAUAUAUUGUUCUCAUCAGCAUAGAGGCAUAGUACCAGCUAUGACCUUAAUAUUAGGGGCAAGUCUUCUUCAAGUUGUACUUGUGCAAUUGAGGCUCCUUGCUUUGCUAUAUCCUAAAUCAAUGGGUGGAAUGCACAGAACGGAUAAAAUACAGUCUGCCCCAUAAAACUGUUACUGAUGUACGAAGAUGCUGUUGUUCGAUGAUGUUGUCUCGUUGUCGAGUGUUCUAAACUUGACAGCAACAGCCAUCAGCAACCAAAGAUUAGCAAACAAAAACGAACACAACCUGAUGUACGAUGAUGCUGCUAUGGUUAUGUUCGUUGUUGAGUG